GGGAGAGCCAAUGGGAAAACAUAACUUCUUCCACUGAGAGGACAAGUUGAAUCAAGGUGAAAAGCAUGCAGCAGCUGAAGUCCUGAGUACACCCAAAGAGCAGCCUGAAUUGAUAAUGAUAAAGGAAGAGCCACAAGAGCUGGACAAUCAAGACAGGGAACACACGAAAACAUGUGAGAACAGAUGGGAAGCACUUAUACAAACUCAGAGGACUCCAGAUGAGAUGCAUCCUCCAAACCUGUUGCAGAACAGCAGCAGCCACUGUUGUCUUGCUAUGUGAAUCUGGGUACCCAGCCCUCCGUCCUGGAACAGGAAGAAGGGAGACACAGUGGAAUCCACAGCUUACACCUGCACACACAAACUUAGAGGCUGGAAAAAAUUUACCUCAAAAUGUACUUCUCAAAGGCGCAGGUGUUCUCAGGAAUAUGAAACUUCACAACUUGAGAAACUCAGCUGCCAAAAGAUUUGGCUGUUUGCAGUGUGGCAAAGGUUUCAGGUGCUUUAGCCAGCUUGAAAUACAUCAGAGAAGUCACACAGGAGAGAAACCGUUCAGGUGCACACUGUGUGGAAAGAGAUAUGCACAAAAAGGGCAUCUGUAUACACACCAGCGCACACACACUGGGGAGAAGCCAUACUGCUGUCCUAUUUGUGGAAAAGGCUUUAUUCAGAAAUGCACUCUUGAUAUGCAUCAGCGCCACACACUGGAGAGAAACCUUUUGUUUGUAUCAAUGUGGCAAGGGUUUUACGAAGAACUGUAACCUGAAAAAACACCUUGCUGUGCAUCUAGAUCCCAGUCUGAAUAUGUUUGGUAGUGAAUGUAGUGCACCUGCAUUUAGUGCGACAUUCAUAAAUGGAACAACUUAAACACUGCCAGUUUGAACUUCUGCUUUUGUUUGGUUGGAAUAUUUAUGAAUAAUAAAGUUAUCUUUUGCUCCA